rnacentral:rRNA from 1 species
AGAGUUUGAUCAUGGCUCAGCCUGAACGCUGGCGGCGUGGCUAAGACAUGCAAGUCGUACGGGGCCGGUAGCAAUACCGGUCCAGUGGCGGACGGGUGAGUAAUGAAUCGCUAACGUACCCCAUAGCCCGGGAUAGCUGUCCGAAAGGGCAGGUAAUACCGGCAUGACAUCACUGCGGGGCAUCCCGUGGUGCUCAAAGGGAAACCGCUGUGGGAGCGGGCGAUUUCGUAUCAGCUAGUUGGUAAGGUAACGGCUUACCAAGGCGACGACGCGUAGCCGGACUGAGAGGUUGGCCGGCCACAUUGGGACUGAGACACUGCCCAGACUCCUACGGGGGGCUGCAGUAACGAAUCUUCCGCAAUGCCCGCAAGGGUGACGGAGCGACGCCGCGUGUGGGACGAAGUCCUUCGGGAUGUAAACCACUGUCAGGGGCUACCAAGUUCUGAGGGGCCCCAGAGGAAGGCACGGCUAACUCUGUGCCAGCCGCCGCGGUAAUA